ensembl:lncRNA
CAACAAUAUAAUAGCCUAGUGAAUUGGGUAUGUAAUGACAGUUUUAUUUAAAAUAAUUAAAAUAAAAAAGAUAGAAACAAAUAAGUCCUUCUAAAAGGCACUUCAAUCAAAGUGACCGAAUACAUAUUGUCAGCAGUGAAGUGAAGCUACUAGUCAAAAUCUUCAGAUACAGUACAGACCAUGUUGACUUGCUGGGUAUUUUUUAUUGCUAAUGACAGCCAUUUGGGAGUGCAGUGCAAACCUUCAGAGUAUUUCUUCCAUUCAGACAGUGGUUCCAACAUAUUGCUGACUCUUUCCCAUAAUUGUGUCCUCUGAAACAUUUGACAUUGUUUAAAUAAUGUGUAAUUCAAAACAAUGUAUUGUGUUGCAUUUGACAGUUUCAGAGGUAUAUGAUAAGUACUUUGCCCUUUAGAGCUUAGUCCAUUUAAAUAACUUGAAUAUCUAUAUUUGAAUGAUGUUAUUACUGAAGGUGUCCUUCUAUUUCUGGAUCAUAACACAGACCAAUUGAUUGUACAUUUGUACAUUUCUUUACUUUGCAUCAUAAAAAUCCACUCUUAUUUGAAGUACAUUAUAAAAUCUGACAUGAUCUGAAACGUUUAAGACCCUGUGCAGUUUUUAAAUCACCAAUACAUGUCUAAUAAAACACUGUGUAUUCUUAUUUAAUAACAAUGUCUAUUUUUUUAUCACUCAUUCAACUAGGUCUCCUUUGGCUUUAAGUCUGUUUAUGUGGGCUUUAGAAAUGAACUUCUAAGAUAUUUACAUCCACAGUCUUGAUCAUAGGAUCAUCUAAAUCAGUUGUUAUAAACUCUCAGCCUGGGGACACUAUACAGCUGUAUAGUUUUAAAAGAUUUAACUAGUAGUUAAUUGCAUUCAACUAGUGCCCAAGGUCUAAAUAAGAUCCUGGUUAGAAGGCUAGAAUGAAAACCAGCAGUACUUUGAGUCCUGAGAUAUUAAUAUCAGAUCAAAUUGGUGACAUCACAAAGUAGACCAAAAGCCCCAUCCCACCAUAACAGAUGGAAAUUCCCAGAUUGUUUCUUCACAAAAUGGACAUUAUCAUAGUUUUCACUAUUCCUAAGUGUUACUUGACUGUGGAAAUAUAAUCAAGAAAACAAGGAAAAUCCUGUUUUUGACUGCACUGGGCUGUUUGACAUUAAGAUUAAACCUGAAUAUCAGAGCAAGCAAAAAAAUGGAAAUGUAACAAAGCCCUUCAAAAUGUACUGUUAAAGAACAUAUUGUAUAUUUGAGUAGCUCUAGAUAUGCAGUAUAGAAGAAUAAACAACAUUUAGGUUAUAAUUUGUGUCAAAAUCAUAAGCACUCAUUACAUAUAAAUAAAUUCCCAGUUUUCAUGAUAUUGUGCUGAAAGUUGAAUCGACAUUGUCCAGCUGGGAACCAAACACUGAUCUGACCUAAAAAUGUGUCAGACUACAGUAUUUAUGCUGUAAAAGAAAGAUGGCUUUGUUAAUCUGCUAGUUUAACCUGGCACUGUGAAGUGAAGCAUUCCUGCGUAUUUGUUUCAGCAACCGUUUUCAGAAAAUGUCACAUUGUGCUUGACUUAAUCUGUACUCCGUAUCUUAGAGAUGGUAGGAGUGUUUUGUGUCAGUUCAUAGCAGUGCUUCACACUUUCUACAUUCAGUUAUGUGCAACAACAAAGCGUAAUUUGUAAUAGUCCUUAGCAUAUGGUAUACAUGUACACAUUCGUAUCAGUAGUAAUCUAUUAAGUACACAAAAUGACAGUGUUGUAAUCAAAUAAAUACAAUUAAUGUUGCAUUUCAUUAAACAUACACUCACAUACAAUAGAUUCAGUUAAGAAUAGAAAAAGCAAACAAUUGUAGCGAUUAAGAGAGCAUAGCCGGUGAGCUUCAACAUUGCUGAUGUGCAGAAUGUCUUUUGAACAAAAGAAACAUGGCAGCAUACCCACCACUUAGGUGCAUAAAGUAUACAGGCAAGGAGGCUACAUAUCUCUGGGAUUACACAUUUCUCCGUAUAUGGGUGUGAGCGUAGCCCAAAGAGUGCUCGUCUCCACACCAUACAUAAAACAGUCAUUGUGUAUGACGGAGGUGCUAAGUGGACCAGGCUAGGUAGGGCACCUCAAGGGGCGUGUCCUGGGAAGGAAUUAAUGCAACAGGUCCCUGCCUCUGGUUGGUCCAAGUCACUGCCUGGUUAGCCAGACCCAGCAGCCCCACAGCAGCUGUUUUAUGUGUACCAGGUAGACAGCCAGCGAGGCCUCCAGCUCCUCACACACACGUUGUGGGCGUCGGCGCUCUGUGCAGUACAUGGCCACGCCCAGCAGUGACAUCAGCAGGAACAGGCAGGUGAACAGGGCCAUGUGUGGGUGGGGUGGUGACGUGUCAUAGGCUGGGGACAGAAGGACACAUGACCAACUGCUGAAUGAUCAGGAUUCUGAAAAGGAUUGGUGGAGAAUCAUCCAAACUGGACGUUUAGGUGUGAGGGAUAUGGCGAGCUCCUAAUGCUGAAAUUACUUGUCUUAACCACGAUGGGGCUCAAGGCCUUUUUCAUUUUAAGGGGUUAUUUGGUUAAAUCUCUUUGUUGAAGGGAUUGUCUUUUUUCUGUUUUUCAAACAAAUAUGAUGUAUAUGUUUUUAACAAAAUUAAUGUAAUAAAUUAUUUUUUAGUUAAGUAUAUUAAAGCCAACCAUGGACAAAACACCAAAAAACUGCUUCAAAAUGUGUAUUGGAUUGCAAAGUAUGUAAAGUCUGUGAAACCGAUAGACGCUAGUAAAUUACAGCUUUACAUAGCAUUUAGACAUUUGAGCAGCUGCCAUAACCUUAGACACACACCUUAUGUAUAGCUACAUUACAAAUGUCUUCUUUGCCUUCGUAAAUGUUAUUAGCCAUUCCUUUGGAACAGAUUGCAUGCUACCUCAUUUACAUGCAUAAUUAAUCAUGAAGUGUAAAUCACUUUCACAUGUUUGUACUUUUUCUAUAUUCAGCAGUACAUUGAAUACUACAGUGCCCUCUAGGGAUAAUGUUUUACGAUCUAAUCACAGUUUUUAUUGUAUCUUUUUCAUUUUCUUUCACAGCUAAGCCAUAAUGAUGCAGACCCUUGGUGAGGUACUGUGGUAGUCCUUCAUAGAGAACUGGGAAAACAGUAGAUUUAGCUAUAUGAGUCACCAGAUUAUUACUAAGCCUUGCUUAAUACAGUAUAUUUUGUUAUAAAUAGUCUUUUGUUUUACUAUUAAUAGCAGUGGAAAAAAGUUAUGGAGCCCCUUAGGACAUACCCGUUCCCUUAACUUUCCCAACUCAUCAACUCCCAAAUUUUUUCAUCCAUUCCCUCAGUUUGUUGAUAGAUUCUGUCAACUUUUUAAUCCAUUCCUUUAACUUUUUAAAAACAUUCCCUGUAUUUUUUAAAUUCAUUUCCUCAGAUUUGGAAUUUAAAUACAUCAUGUUUUGACUGUUAAAUACAGGCUGGUCAUCAGUAACUAUAAAAUGUUUCAUGUGUAAAUAAAGGCCUGUUUGACUGACAGAAACUAACCGUUUAUUAGAGGCCCAGUAGAUGUACAAGAUGUACAGGAAGGGCAAAGACAGGGGGCUGCAUAUUCUACCCCACACUUGAGUCAGCUGGCACAAGGAUUGUAAUGCAGAUCCCAAAAGUAUUCAAUUUAUGUUAACUGUUGUCAUGCCACACAAAGUCUCUGUCUCAGUUAGGUCCACCGUGGAUAGAAUAUUGUGUUUGUUUACUCGACUUACAUUUUAACACCCUUUGCGCUGUGUGUCCACCAGUAUACAGGAAUGUAUGAGCCUGGGUUUUUUUUUUACCAUGACACCUAAAGGUCACCAUAAAAAGCUGAGUCAGUCCAAUGAUAAAUGUAUUUCUUGUCUCUGCGGGUCAGGGCCUUCCAUUGCAGUAAAGGAUUCAGAGUGAUUCAGUAGAGGUGACAAUGCACCAGAGGGCAGCACUCACAUUCAGCUAUGUUCCGAUACGCCUCAUUUCUUCUCGGCUCUUUACAUGCACCGAAUGGCCACUUCUCAAGCAAAGAAAGAUCUAUUGUCCAGCAGAUAGGAGCCAAAUAUACCCAAUAUUGGUUUUAUUAUAAUAUUUUCAAACUAAUAAUAGUACAACCUAUGGAACAUUUUAAGAUUGGAAAUUAUCUGGGAAGCCUGUUUGUCAGUGACACAAAGGCUGCAUUUUGGAUUUCCGGGUUGAAGAAUGUUGUUUAAAGUUCUUCCAAACAAUAUAUGAAAUUGACUUGGUAAUGGUAUCUACCCAAUAAAUGCACCUCGCUUAAUUCUGACAAAAUUAUAGUGACUAUGCAAAUUUGUGAUAACGCCACCAAAUUUCACACACAGAUACAGUGGGGCAAAAAAGUAUUUAGUCAGCCACCAAUUGUGCAAUUUCUACCACUUAAAAAGAUGAAAGAGGCCUGUAAUUUUCAUCAUAGAUACACUUCAACUAUGAGAGACAAAAUGAGAAAAAAAUCCAGAAAAUCACAUUGUAGGAUUUUUAAUGAAUUUAUUGGUAAAUAAUGGUGGAAAAUAAGUAUUUGGUCAAUAACAAAAGUUCAUCUCAAUACUUUGUUAUAUACCCUUAGUGGGCAAUGACAGAGGUCAAACGUUUUCUGUUAGUCUUCACAAGGUUUACACACACUGUUGCUGGUAUUUUGGCCCUUUCCUCCAUGCAGAUCUCCUCUAGAGCAGUGAUGUUUUGGGGCUGUCGCUGGGCAACACAGACUUUCAAUUCCCUCCAAAGAUUUUCUAUGGGGUUGAGAUCUGGUGACUGGCUAGGCCUCUCCAGGACCUUCAAAUGCUUCUUACAAAGCCACUCCUUUGUUGCCUGGGCAGUGUGUUUGGGAUCAUUGUCAUGCUGAAAGACCCAGCCAUGUUUCAUCUUCAAUGCCCUUGCUGAUGGAAGGAGGUUUUCACUCAAAAUCUCACGAUACAUGUCCCCAUCCAUUCUUUCCUUUACACAGAUCAGUCGUCCUGGUCCCUCUGCAGAAAAACAGCCCCAAAGCAUGAUAUUUCCACCCACAUGCUUCAUAGUAGGUAUGGUGUUCUUUGGUUUUUACCAAAAGGUUCUAUUUUGGUUUCAUCUGACCAUAUGACGUUCUCCCAAUCCUCUUCUGGACCAUCCAAAUGCUCUCUAGCAAACCUCAGACGGGCCUGGACAUGUACUGGCUUAAGCAGGGGGACACGUCUGGCACUGCAGGAUUUGAGUCCCUGGCGGUGUAGUGUGUUACUGAUGGUAGCCUUUGUUACUUUGGUCCCAGCUCUCUGCAGGUCAUUCACUAGGUCCCCCUGUGUGGUUCUGGUAUUUUUGCUCACCGUUCUUGUGAUAAUUUUGACCCCACGGGGUGAGAUCUUGCGUGCAGCCCCGGAUCGAGGGAGAUUAUCAGUGGUCUUGUAUGUCUUCCAUUUUCUUAUAAUUGCUCCCACAGUUGAUUUCUUCACACCAAGCUGCUUACCUAUUGCAGAUUCAGUCUUCCCAGCCUGGUGCAGGUCUACAAUUUUGUUUCUGGUGUCCUUUGACAGCUCUUUGGUCUUGGCCAUAGUGAAGUUUGGAGUGUGACUGUUUGAGGUUGUGGACAGGUCUCUUUAUUACUGAUAACAAGUUCAAACAGGUGCCAUUAAUACAGGUAACGAGUGGAGGACAGAGAAGCCUCUUAAAGAAGAAGUUACAGGUCUGUGAGAGCCAGAAGUCUUGCUUGUUUGCAGGUGACCAAAUACUUAUUUUACUGAGGAAUUUACCAAUAAUUUCAUUAAAAAUCCUAAAAUGUGAUUUUCUGGAUUUUCUUUUCUCCUUUUGUCUCUCAUAGUUGAAGUGUACCUAUGAUGAAAAUUACAGGCCUCUCUCAUCUUUUUAAGUGGGAGAACUUGCACAAUUGGUGGCUGACUAAAUACUUUUUUGCCCCAUUGUAGCAGUGAAAAAAUUGUUUUGGCUAUAUGAUGCACUUUACUGAAUGGCGAUUGUGCCCAUUCCUCCUGUAUCCAAUUUGGACACUAACUGACUACAGUCCAUGGGGCCAUAUUGGACAUGUGUCACACGGUCAUUUCUCCAUAAAUAAUUGGUACAGGCCCGUUGAUAGGGAUGAAAUGUUUGAGUGAUUCUGGAAAACACAAAGGCUCAAUCCCAGUUCACCCCGUACCCCCAUCCAUCUAUUAACGCGUUGCACCUCAGCCGUUUGCAAGUAUUAGAACUGGCAAAAGUAGAGCUAGAUUUUUCAACGCAGCUGCUUGCAAAAGAGAAUUCAUUCUCUGUCAAUCCUACGUGUUAAAAUAAAAAAAUAUAUAUUGUCUUAAGGAGAAUUUUACGAUUGGAAUAUUUUUGUCUAUACUAUAUUUGGGGUUUAUUUAGCAUAUAGAUGGCCUUACAAAGUAAUUUUGACAUUCUUUUGAGUAAUUUGACACUAUUUUCUCCUAAAGGAUAAUAUGAAUGCCAGCCAGUUUAUAUUUUAACGACCGCCUUGGUUGACUGACAGCUUCCCAGUAUGCAUUUAAUCUUGAAGAUGUUGCUAAUCCUCGCUAAUAUUAAUGUACCAAAUCCAAUCAACUCAUUAUAAAAUCCAGUUUUAUGCUGGACCGCUAGUCCUCAUGGCCUCCAUGCGUUUGGCAUUAGGCCCCUAACGCUGCAGUGUCUCUCACCAUGCACAGUGGUCUCAGGCUCUCUGAACCGGACACGCCGCUCGCUUUUCCGUCUGUGGGCGGGCUCUGAAUCUGAUCCCGAGUUUGACCUCUUCAGUAUGGACAUGGGGAUUUUACCACUGGUGACCUGAGGAGAGGGUGUGGAAAACACAGACAUGAGGACACAUUGAACACCAGUACUGAAGAUAUGUCACUGAGAACAAAAAUUCUACUUUAAAAUAUUGUCACCUUGGGGUUUGGAGUGUCCUCCUGUGGGUGGGACUCUUUCCUGUGCCGGAUCUCAGAGCGUUUGUCCCGGUGGGAAUGGGAGUGGGAAUGUGGAAGACCGUUGUUGAGUGUGUCUCUGAAGGUCUCAGAAGCAGCAAACCUCUUUGACAGAGCUGACAUGCACUGGCCGAGGGAGUCUAAGCGGUUAACCGUGAAUAAAUGUUAGUCUCCGACUACUGAAUCAACCUACCACGCAGACGGCUAGUGAGCAAUUACUUUACAGGUGAAGUACAAUAUCAAACAGUCCUGUGAAAAACACCUUCGACAAACAAUAUGUGCACAGUCCCAGUCUAGUGGGUCCGUAGAGUUUUCCAUGUCAUAAAUGCACUACACUGGCUUUGUCUUAUGAUAGUUUACACUCUAGGUCACAGAAAAUGGCUUCAGUUUACUCAGAAAACAGUUCGGUUUACUCAGAAAGCAAUUAGAAACAUGUGCAUAUGAAAAAUGCUGGUGACUAGGUCUUUAUUGAAAAGACUAACUUUGUUCUGGCAGUUGUAAAUAUUUACUUCUUUAGUUCACCUAGAAUAGUAAAAAAGUGAAAGAAAUUGAUUUUGGGUGUAUUUCUGGAGAAAGAGAGUGCUUUGAGUCAAAGCUCCUCUCAGGGUCCAGUUUAACUACAAGCUGUCAAAGAUAAACUGUCUACAGCUUGUGUUCACCUGUCAAACUAUGAGGAAAGUCCUGGCACACCCUGCCUAGGUAACCUACAAUAAUUAUUCAUCCAGUUCUAUUUCAUCACGACAAUGGCUUAAUGAAUGUUUUCUUUAGUUGAGUUUUACCUGAGUAUUCCGUCUUGCCGAUCUCUGCGUAGACGUUGGCCAGCAGCUCCAGGCUCCUGGUUGUGAUAGGGUGGUUGUUGCCAAAGGCCCGUUGAUGGAUCUUAGUGGCUUUCCCACUGUAUUCUAAUGCAAGAUGAGGUCUGAAAGGCCCAGAAACACAGAGGUAAGCAAAACUGAUUGCAUUAUUUCUGUGUCUAUAGUUCACGGUCCUUCCUGUUUUGAUUCCCGACAUAUUUUCUGCUUAUAUUUGAUUCAGAAAAAGCAGUUAAUGUAACGCCAAUGAAUAAAUCAGGACUGCAAUCCAGGGCGAAAUCUAUCUGCUCUGGCACCCUUGGUAAAUAUAAGCCCACAAGUAAUUGAAGUCCUUUCAGGGAGGACCACAAUGGCUGAUCAUAAUCAAGCUUUGUCGGUUCUUGCUGCAUUGUAAGGCUCGCGGAUCGAUGUCAACGUUAGGAGCAGAGCGGCAUGACAAAUCCAAAUAUGCGUAGGCUAUGCUGUGAUUUGAUUUAGAGCAGGAAGACUGAGCUGACAGGGCCGUGGGCUCGGGGCCAGCGUGCCAGCCUUAGAGAGCCAGUGGAAACAUCCACCGCCAGCCAGCUACAAGUAGACUGCCCUCAUCCUGACUCCAGCUUGGUUUACUGUGCACCCUUCUGCAGCUAUCCCCUUCUGGUACAACGGCUAACAACAAAGUACACGGGAACAUGCGUUGUUCAUUAUUUGUACUGAUCCUAGUUACUUCUUUAGAAUAGCAAAGUAAUUGAAAGUGGAACAUUACUUCAGAACGCUGUUUCCACCAUAAUGCGGAAAGAUGAGAACCCAACUCUAACUACAUGGUCAGAUGAACGCAUGUCCAAGUCCGAACCUCAACAACGAUAUAGAUAAGAGGAUAAUCAUGAGCCCACCACUUACAUAACAGAGCUGAGAGCUCUGCUGAUUCAGGCCACCUAAUAUUCACCAGGACCUCCCACCAAACCAAGCACAAUAACUAAUAAUAAUGACUAGACAAAUAAUCAGAAUCAAAAUCACAAAAACUUUGACACACACCCAGACUUUUCUUGCUGUAAAGGUGCUGCUAGUGGUAGACAAUAUGUAAGGACAGAAUGCAGAAAAUAUCAUUUAAGUUGAUACAUACAAUUAUGCACAAUGCACAACACAUUACAACACCUAUGAAUGAAUGUACAUGUGAAUCAGCUGAGAGAGGGGGAGGUUACAAUUGUUCAGUAGUAAAUAACUGAGUCUGAGCAUUAUUAAUGAAUAGUAAACAGGAGUCCGGUAGCAGCAGUCAUGAACUGAGCAUGUAGCAAGAAUGUAUGUAUGGACGUGUGUGUACACGUGUGUCUGUGUGUAUGCGUGUGUGUGUGUCUGUGUGCAUGUCUCUGUGUGUGUGUGUUUCUGUGUGUCUUAUACCGAGCAUUCUAAAGGCUUUCGAAUGAAAGCUGUUUCUGAGCCUGUUGGGAAGGGAUCUCACACUUAGUAGACAACAGUAGGAACAGACCUCUAUCUGAUGGUAAGAGAAGACAACCGUAGAAACAGACCUCUGUGUGCUGGCAAGAGUAGACAACAGUUGAAAUAGACCUCUGUCUGAUGGUAAAAGUAGACAACAGUAGGAACAGACCUCCUCUAUCUGAUGGUAAGAGAAGACAACAGUAGAAACAGACCUCUUUUGCCUGAUGGUUAGAGUAAACAACAGUAAAAACAGUCCUCCUCUGUCUGAUGGUAAAAGUAGACAACAGUAGAAACAG